rnacentral:rRNA from 1 species
UGGUGGAGCGAUUUGUCUGGUCAAUUCCGAUAACGAACGAGACUCUAGCCUACUAAAUAGUUCGGGGACCCCCACAAAGGGGCCCCGCUUCAACUUCUUAGAGAGACAGGUGGCGUUUAGCCACACGAGAUUGAGCAAUAACA